GAAGGGCGGUGUGCUAUAAUGCAAGUCGUACGCACUGGCCCAACUGAUUGAUGGUGCUUGCACCUGAUUGACGAUGGAUCACCAGUGAGUGGCGGACGGGUGAGUAACACGUAGGUAACCUGCCCCGGAGCGGGGGAUAACAUUUGGAAACAGAUGCUAAUACCGCAUAACAAUAAAAGCCGCAUGGCUUUUAUUUGAAAGAUGGCUUUGGCUAUCACUCUGGGAUGGACCUGCGGUGCAUUAGCUAGUUGGUAAGGUAACGGCUUACCAAGGCGAUGAUGCAUAGCCGAGUUGAGAGACUGAUCGGCCACAAUGGAACUGAGACACGGUCCAUACUCCUACGGGAGGCAGCAGUAGGGAAUCUUCCACAAUGGGCGCAAGCCUGAUGGAGCAACACCGCGUGAGUGAAGAAGGGUUUCGGCUCGUAAAGCUCUGUUGUUGGAGAAGAACGUGCGUGAGAGUAACUGUUCAUGCAGUGACGGUAUCCAACCAGAAAGUCACGGCUAACUACGUGCCAGCAGCCGCGGUAAUACGUAGGUGGCAAGCGUUAUCCGGAUUUAUUGGGCGUAAAGCGAGCGCAGGCGGUUGCUUAGGUCUGAUGUGAAAGCCUUCGGCUUAACCGAAGAAGUGCAUCGGAAACCGGGCGACUUGAGUGCUCGACUGA
rnacentral:rRNA from 1 species